AGUGAACGCUGGCGGUAGGCCUAACACAUGCAAGUCGAACGGCAGCACAGUAAGAGCUUGCUCUUACGGGUGGCGAGUGGCGGACGGGUGAGGAAUACAUCGGAAUCUACUUUUUCGUGGGGGAUGACGUAGGGAAACUUACGCUAAUACCGCAUACGACCUACGUGUGAAAUCAGGUGAUCUUCGGACCUUGCGCGAUUGAAUGACCCGAUGUCGGGUUAGCUAGUUGGGGAGGUAAAGGCCCACCAAGGCGGCGAUCCGUAGCUGGUCUGAGAGGAUGAUAAGCGACAUUGGAGCUGAGACACGGUCCAGGCGCCGACGGGAGGGAGCAGUGGGGAAUAUUGGACCAUGGGCGCGAGCCUUAUCCAGCCAUACCGCGUGGGUGAAGAAGGCCUUCGGGUUGUAAUGCCCGUUUGUUGGGAAAGAAAAGCAGCAGGUUAAUACCCCGCUGUUUUGACGGGUCCCAAAGAAAAAGGACCGGCUAAAUUCGUG
rnacentral:rRNA from 1 species